CAGCCGCCGCGGUAAUACGAAGGGUGCAAGCGUUAAUCGGAAUUACUGGGCGUAAAGCGUGCGUAGGCGGUGAGUUAAGUCUGCUGUGAAAUCCCCGGGCUCAACCUGGGAAUGGCAGUGGAUACUGGCUCGCUAGAGUGUGUCAGAGGAUGGUGGGAUUCCCGGUGUAGCGGUGAAAUUCGUAGAGAUCGGGAGGAACAUCAGUGGCGAAGGCGGCCAUCUGGGACAACACUGACGCUGAGGCACGAAAGCGUGGGGAGCAAACAGGAUUAGAUACCCCGGUAGUCCCUGUCUCUUAUAC
rnacentral:rRNA from 1 species